GCUACGGGUGGCAGCAGUGGGGAAUAUUGCACAAUGGGGGAAACCCUGAUGCAGCGACGCCGCGUGAGUGAAGAAGUAUCUCGGUACGUAAAGCUCUAUCAGCAGGGAAGAAAAUGACGGUACCUGACCAAGAAGCCCCGGCUAACUACGUGCCAGCAGCCGCGGUAAUACGUAGGGGGCAAGCGUUAUCCGGAUUUACUGGGUGUAAAGGGAGCGUAGACGGCCAUGCAAGUCUGAUGUUAAAACCCGGGGCUCAACCCCGGGACUGCAUUGGAAACUGGGCGGCUGGAGGGUCGGGGAGGCAAGUGGAAUUCCUAGUGUAGCGGUGAAAUGCGGAGAUAGUAGGAGGAACACCAGUGGCGAAGGCGGCUUGCUGGACGACGACUGACGUUGAGGCUCGAAAGCGUGGGGAGCAAACAGGAUUAGAUACCCCAGUAGUC
rnacentral:rRNA from 1 species